AGUGAACGCUGGCGGUAGGCCUAACACAUGCAAGUCGAACGGCAGCACAGUAAGAGCUUGCUCUUACGGGUGGCGAGUGGCGGACGGGUGAGGAAUACAUCGGAAUCUACUUUUUCGUGGGGGAUAACGUAGGGAAACUUACGCUAAUACCUCAUACGACCUACGGGUUAAAGCAGGGGAUCUUCUGACCUUGCGCGAUUGAAUGAGCCGAUGUCGGAUUAGCUAGUUGGCGGGGUAAAGGCCCACCAAGGCCACGAUCCGUAGCUGGUCUGAGAGGAUGAUCAGCCACACUGGAACUGAGACACGGUCCAGACUCCUACGGGAGGCAGCAGUGGGGAAUAUUGGACAAAGGGCGCAAGCCUGAUCCAGCCAUACCGCGUGAGUGAAGAAGGCCUUCGGGUUGUAAAGCCCUUUUGUUGGGAAAGAAAAGCAGCAGGUUAAUACCCCGCUGUUCUGACGGUACCCAAAGAAUAAGCACCGGCUAACUUCAUG
rnacentral:rRNA from 1 species